AUGGAAAGAUUGAACUCAAAGCUGUACUUACAAAACUGUUACAUAAUGAAAGAAAAUGAGAGGCUGAGGAAGAAAGCACAGCUUUUGAAUGAAGAGAAUCAACAACUAUUAUGUGAGUUGAAGAAGAAGCUUUCAAAGAAGGGUGGAAAUAAUGGUCCAAAUAGUACCAAUUUUGACCUUAACCUUAGUUCUGGUUCUGGUCAAAACAAUGCAAGUUAA